rnacentral:rRNA from 1 species
ACGUUAGCGGCGGACGGGUGAGUAACACGUGGGUAACCUACCUAUAAGACUGGGAUAACUCCGGGAAACCGGGGCUAAUACCGGAUAAUACAUGAAACCGCAUGGUUUCAUGAUGAAAGACGGUUUUGCUGUCACUUAUAGAUGGACCCGCGGCGUAUUAGCUAGUUGGUAAGGUAACGGCUUACCAAGGCAACGAUACGUAGCCGACCUGAGAGGGUGAUCGGCCACACUGGAACUGAGACACGGUCCAGACUCCUACGGGAGGCAGCAGUG